GUAGGUGAACCUGCGGAAAAAUCAUUAACUCGUAUCCAACGUUAAACCCCUGAACCUUAAGACGCCGCUCCUAGGGCUCAGUCGCGAAAAAAACUAGCAAUCCCCUGUACUCGUCCGAGAAAAAUGUAAGGGGGAGGGGACUUCUGGCAGUGCACCCUAGUCAGAGCGCUUGGAGUUAGUGGCUUGUUUUUCCCCAAGCUGCCAAUGAGUGAAAGUGUCAUUGGCUGUGUAAGGAUUUUGCCUAAACAGCGAUCAGGUCGAUCAACGACCGGUGAAAUAAGCAACAGAAGCUUUAAUACUUCCCUCACCGCCCCCACUUCCUAUUGCCGUAACAACGCCGGGUAUUUAAAAACGUACAAAACAACUGUUAACAAUGGAUAUCUUGGUUCUC
rnacentral:misc_RNA from 1 species